rnacentral:tRNA from 2 species
GGAGAGGUGGCCGAGUGGUCGAAGGCGCACGACUGGAAAUCGUGUAUACGGCAACGUAUCGAGGGUUCGAAUCCCUCUCUCUCCGCCA